UCUCAUGACUCACAAGGCUCUUUAGAGGU
rnacentral:piRNA from 1 species